AGUCCCAAGGCGCAGCGUGCGUCAGCAAGACAGCAGAAGCAGGAGGAGAGCUGGCGGGAAGACAUGCACCCCUUGAAGACCCAGAGAGAGGCCGUCUGUCUACCGCGUAGCAGUUACAUCAGACUGAGACACUUCCUGUUUACAGGAGACUAUAAAAUUCCUGCCCCGUGCUCAUUUGGGGCUGACGCCAUUUUAGGCCUCAGCCCAUCUGCACCCAGGCGCUCACUGAAACAGUGUGUUGCUCCACACCGCCUUGUUUUGCUUGUUGGCGCGCUCUCAGGGUUCCGACCAAUCCAAGAGCCUUGCAGAAAGCAUUAACGUGCUUUUCUCUUUGGCAGAGUUUUUCUUUGCUCUGAUCUUGGAGACAUCCCUCUGCCUAGUGGAAACAUAAGGAAUACAGAAAGAAUGCAAGGAGAUAGACCAACGUGAGAUUCUCCUUCAUGCACUCAAGAGAAAGAUGUUGCAGGAAGAGCUAGUCUUUCAGGCUGGGCUGGUGACCUGAGAAAGAAUGUCCAGCUUUUCUUCUCCACUUGGCAUAUCAAGAGCCAGGCGUGGAAGACUAAAACAGGAAAUGUUUAUAAAAACUGUUCAGCGGUUCGCCAACAAGAAGUGGUAAAGUAGCAAAAAUGGGGAUGGAGAUGCCAGGAGGAAAGAUGCCAGGGGUAAAGUGGGAAAAUGGGAACCUGAAGCCAGGAGGUCAAGCCAAGCCAACAGGUGUUCUGUUUUUCAAUGAGGAGGUGGGGCACAGGAUGGAUGGAAACUUUCCACAGUCACAGAACUAAUAAGUGGUGCUGAGGACUCAAACCCGGGGAAGCCCACUCUAGAACCCAUGCUGGUCAUCCAUAUCCCCAAGGCCCUGGUCAGAACACAGCUAAGCAGAUGGCUUGGGUCAUCAGGACGUCCAUUACAUCCAAAGGAAGACAGCCUGUGACGUUUCAAAAGCAAAAGUCCCCUACCAGCCAGUGAAGCUACCUGAUUUCUCAGUAUCUUACGCCCAGUGACACGAUCUACCCUCAAAACUUAAAAAAAAAAGGGAAACAUAAACACAUAACAGCAGCAGCAAUAAUUAAAGAUGAGAUGAGAACAAUUAAGAAAAAAGGAAAGGUCUCCUGUGACUGUUUUAUUUUUAGGGAAACAGAGAGGAAGAAGAAUGAUUUUUCUUUUGAUGACUCUAUAUCCAACUCUGAGGUUUGAUUAAAGAAAUGACCUUGAACCACAGCAAAGAAAAAUAAAAGACAAUUUCCAGUAA
rnacentral:lncRNA from 1 species